GAUGAACGCUGGCGGCGUGCCUAAUACAUGCAAGUCGAGCGAACAGACGAGGAGCUUGCUCCUUUGACGUUAGCGGCGGACGGGUGAGUAACACGUAGGUAACCUACCUAUAAGACUGGGAUAACUUCGGGAAACCGGAGCUAACACCGGAUAAUAUUUCGAACCGCAUGGUUCGAUAGUGAAAGAUGGCUUUGCUAUCACUUAUAGAUGGACCUGCGCCGUAUUAGCUAGUUGGUAAGGUAACGGCUUACCAAGGCAACGAUACGUAGCCGACCUGAGAGGGUGAUCGGCCACACUGGAACUGAGACACGGUCCAGACUCCUACGGGAGGCAGCAGUAGGGAAUCUUCCGCAAUGGGCGAAAGCCUGACGGAGCAACGCCGCGUGAGUGAUGAAGGUCUUCGGAUCGUAAAACUCUGUUAUUAGGGAAGAACAGACGUGUAAGUAACUGUGCACGUCUUGACGGUACCUAAUCAGAAAGCCACGGCUAACUACGUG
rnacentral:rRNA from 1 species